GGGGGGGGGUGUAACAUUUCAUAUGCUUGUCUAUAAAUAGGUUGGAGAGCCUUGGCUGUAUAAGAGAUGCUAACUUGGGGUGCAAGUUUUGUGCAUCGCGCGCACACAUACAUAUUUGUGUAUUUCCCUUGUUGUUGAGAUUAAUAAAGGUUGUGAUUGUUUCCUAUACUAAUUUGUGUGCUUUGUAUACAUUGCAUCCUUUCUACUUAUGUAUUCUGCUUGUCUCAUUACAGAGAGAGUGUGGGGAAACCUCUAGGAGAGGGAAAACAUGUAGUUGCUAGACAAACAUAAGUGGAUAGAAAGAGGAAAGGUUGAGUCUAAUAGAGGACUGUAGUUGCUAGACAAACAUAAGUGGAUAGAAAGAGGAAAAGUUUGAGUCUAAUAGAGGGCUGGGCUGCUGCAUAGGAACUGAAAAGUUUCAAGGAGAAAUUAACCCUGCGACAUACUAAGCCCCCGUUUGGGAUUGCGGCCCAAAUGGAGGUUGGCCAAAAUUCAAUUCUUUUCUUAAUUUUUUUUUUAUGUUUUUCCGAUUGUUGUGAUAUGCUGAUAUCAAAAA